rnacentral:rRNA from 1 species
AGGUAAGCUACUAAGAGCGAAUGGUGGAUGCCUUGACUGGUAAAGGCGAUGAAGGACGUACUAGACUGCGAUAAGCUACGGGGAGCUGUCAAGAAGCUUUGAUCCGUAGAUUUCCGAAUGGGG